UACGUAGGGUGCGAGCGUUAAUCGGAAUUACUGGGCGUAAAGCGAGUGUAGGUGGUUGUCCAAGUUGGAUGUGAAAGCCUUGAGCUCAACUCAAGAAAUGCAUUCAGGACUGGGCGACUAGAGGACCGGAGAGGAUAGUGGAAUUCCCAGUGUAGUGGUGAAAUACGUAGAUAUUGGGAAGAACACCAGUGGCGAAGGCGGCUAUCUGGACGGUUUCUGACACUAAGACUCGAAAGCGUGGGGAGCAAACAGG
rnacentral:rRNA from 1 species